AUCCUUUUGCAGUUAGUUCAUAAGUGUGAUGAUUGUGGUUUCGUGCUCAUGCGUGAGACAUGGGUGGGCAUCCCUCAAACCUUGUUAUGAUGGCCCAGCAACCAUCUGACA
ensembl:snoRNA